GUGCGAUAUGUAGUGCGAUUUGCAUGAAUCUGUGAGUCAUCUAAUCUUUGAACGCAACUUGCGCCUCUUUGAGGCAUGUUUGUUUGAGUGCCGCAUACCUUUAUGCAGCAAUGCGAUUUGAUUCACGUCUCCGGACCGAAUCUAAAUAUAGCCAGAUGGUGGUCAGCGUGACUAGCCCGAGUGCUAAGCAUUCUUGGAACUAGUUAGGCAGCCAUUAAAAAUCUUUUUAUAUUUGGCCUCAAAUCAAGCAAGACUACCCGCUGAACUUAA
rnacentral:misc_RNA from 1 species